rnacentral:rRNA from 1 species
UCCGUAGGUGUAUAAUUAAGUCAGAGGUGAAAUCCUGCAGCUCAACUGUAGAAUUGCCUUUGAUACUGGUUAUCUUGAGUCAUUAUGAAGUGGUUAGAAUGUGUAGUGUAGCGGUGAAAUGCAUAGAUAUUACACAGAAUACCGAUUGCGAAGGCAGAUCACUAAUAAUGUACUGACACUGAGGAACGAAAGCGUGGGGAGCGAACAGGAUUAGAUACCCUGGUAGUCC